rnacentral:ncRNA from 1 species
GGUCAAGAUUUUAAGGGCAUACGGUGAAUGCCUUGGCAUCAAUCGGCGAUGAAGGACGCGUCAGGCUGCGAAAAGCCACGGGGAGCUGCGAGAAAGUUAAGAUCCGUGGAUGUCCGAAUGGGGCAACCUGUCUGGAGUAAUGUCCAGAUAUCUUAAGCUGAAUACAUAGGCUUAUGAGGCAAACCCGGGGAAGUGAAACAUCUCAGUACCCGGAGGAAGAGAAAUCAAAAGAGAUUCCCUAAGUAGCGGCGAGCGAACGGGGAUUAGCCCAAACCCAGUAAGGCACCGGUCUAAUGACAAUGUCAUUGGUCAGGUGCCUUACUGGGGGUUGUAGGACCGUAUAAAGCUACUUUAGAUGUAUAGUUGAAUUCUACUGGAAAGUAGAGCCAUAGAAGGUGAUAGCCCUGUAAGCGAAAUAUAUCUAAUAAGCGAGCGGUAUCCUGAGUACUGCGGGACACGUGGUAUCCCGUGGGAAUCUGGGGGGACCAUCCUCCAAGGCUAAAUACGUAUUGAUGACCGAUAGCGCAUAGUACCGUGAGGGAAAGGUGAAAAGAACCCCUGUGAGGGGAGUGAAAUAGAACCUGAAACCGUAUGCUUACAAGCAAUCAGAGCGCUGAAUAAGUGUGAUGGUGUGCCUUUUGAUUAAUGAGCCGGCGAGUUGCUGGUUGUAGCAAGGUUAAUCUAGUAGACUAGAGAAGCCGUAGGGAAACCGAGUCUUAAAAGGGCGUUUAGUUGCAAUCAGCAGACCCGAAGCCAGUUGAUCUACCCAUGGUCAGGGUGAAGCGAAGGUAAGACUUCGUGGAGGCCCGAACUGAUGUUUGUUGCAAAAAGCUCGGAUGAACUGUGGGUAGGAGCGAAAGACCAAUCAAAACUGGUGAUAGCUGGUUCUCCCCGAAAUGCAUUUAGGUGCAGCCUUUGAGUAGUCUUGAGGGGGUAGGGCACUGAAUGGGCUAGGGCUUCGCAAGAGGUACCGAUCCCAAUCAAACCUCGAAUACCUCAUAGAUGUUCUCAAGGAGUGAGACUGCGGGUGCUAAGAUUCGUAGUCGAAAGGGAAAAAGCCCAGACCGACAGCUAAGGUCCCUAAGAUAGUGCUAAGUGAGAAAGGAUGUAGUG